rnacentral:rRNA from 1 species
GCAUCCUACGGGACGCAGCAGUGGGGAAUAUUGCACAAUGGGCGCAAGCCUGAUGCAGCGACGCCGCGUGCGGGAUGGAGGCCUUCGGGUUGUAAACCACUUUUGUAGAGAACGAAAAGACACCUUCGAAUAAAGGGUGUUGCUGACGGUACUCUAAGAAUAAGCACCGGCUAACUACGUGCCAGCAGCCGCGGUAAUACGUAGGGUGCGAGCGUUAAUCGGAAUUACUGGGCGUAAAGGGUGCGCAGGCGGUUGAGUAAGACAGAUGUGAAAUCCCCGAGAUUAACUCGGGAAUGGCAUAUGUG